AGUCCAGCCUGUUGCCAGUGAGUGGGAAGAGGGAUCAGAAGUGCUUGUUAAAACAUCAAGCUGUCAGCCAUUCUGCAGACGCUCUGCUGCUCACGAUAAAGAGGAACUCUUUCAGAAUGUACUGACGCAGGUGGCAGAACAGUUCUCAAGGGCAUUCAAGAUCAACGAGCUGAAGACCGAGGUCACCAACCGUCUGGCCAUGCUGGAGAAAAGAGUGGAACGUAAGUC